rnacentral:rRNA from 1 species
GACGAACGCGGCGGCGUGCCUAAUACAUGCAAGUAGAACGCACAGUUUAUACCGUAGCUUGCUACACCAUAGACUGUGAGUUGCGAACGGGUGAGUAACGCGUAGGUAACCUGCCUGGUAGCGGGGGAUAACUAUUGGAAACGAUAGCUAAUACCGCAUAAUAUUAAUUAUUGCAUGAUAAUUAAUUGAAAGGUGCAAUUGCACCACUACCAGAUGGACCUGCGUUGUAUUAGCUAGUAGGUGAGGUAACGGCUCACCUAGGCGACGAUACAUAGCCGACCUGAGAGGGUGAUCGGCCACACUGGGACUGAGACACGGCCCAGACUCCUACGGGAGGCAGCAGUAGGGAAUCUUCGGCAAUGGACGAAAGUCUGACCGAGCAACGCCGCGUGAGUGAAGAAGGUUUUCGGAUCGUAAAGCUCUGUUGUAAGAGAAGAAACGGGUGUGAGAGUGGAAAG